UCCGGUUGAUCCUGCCAGAGGCCACUGCUAUCGGGGUUUGACUAAGCCAUGCGAGUCGAGAGGUGUAAGACCUCGGCGUACUGCUCAGUAACACGUGGACAAUCUGCCCUGAAGUGGAGGAUAAUCCCGGGAAACUGGGGGUAAUACUCCAUAGUUCGUGCUGACUGGAAUGUUAUGCGAACGAAAGAUCCGUCGCUUCAGGAUGAGUCUGCGGCCGAUUAGGUAGUUGUUGGGGUAACGGCCCAACAAGCCUGUCAUCGGUACGGGUUGUGGGAGCAAGAGCCCGGAGAUGGAUUCUGAGACACGAAUCCAGGCCCUACGGGGCGCAGCAGGCGCGAAAACUUUACCAUGCGGGCAACCGUGAUAAGGAAACCCCGAGUGCCAGCACAGGCUGGCUGUCCGCCAGUGUAAAUAACUGGUGAAGAAAGGGCCGGGCAAGACCGGUGCCAGCCGCCGCGGUAAUACCGGCGGCUCGAGUGGUGGCCACUAUUACUGGGCUUAAAGGGUCCGUAGCUUGAUAUGCAAGUCUCUUGAGAAAUCCGCCAGCUUAACUGGUGGGCGUUCAGGGGAAACUGCAUUUCUAGGGACCGGGAGAGGUGAGAGGUACUGCCGGGGUAGGAGUGAAAUCCUGUAAUCCCGGUGGGACCACCUAUGGCGAAGGCAUCUCACCAGAACGGGUCCGACAGUGAGGGACGAAAGCUGGGGGAGCAAACCGGAUUAGAUACCCGGGUAGUCCCAGCUGUAAACGAUGCGCGUUAGGUGUGUCAGUGACCACGUGUCACUGAGGUGCCGAAGGGAAACCGUGAAACGCGCCGCCUGGGGAGUACGGUCGCAAGGCUGAAACUUAAAGGAAUUGGCGGGGGAGCAC
rnacentral:rRNA from 1 species